AAUCGGCGUACAACGAUGGGGACGUGUCCCUAAUGUGGAGCCGAGGGAAACGAGCCACAGCAAAAGCACCUGUAUUCAAGGUGGAAAGCUGAAACAUCAAGUGUCGGGCAAUAGAGUUUGGUAGGUCGGUAACGAUUCGAAGAAGUUUGGCCCG
ncrna:unclassified sequences RT-3 RNA